rnacentral:lncRNA from 1 species
CAAAGAUCUUCCUGAGGUCCCAGCCUCUGAAUGGCGGCAGCCCUUUGCGAACUACCAGCUUGCUCUCUUGCCACAAUGUCACACGGAGGUUUCCAGGAUCCUCACUAGAGGUGUGGCAGGCAGGCCUGAAAUGACCAAUUCAAAGUCCCUCUUGUUGCUACUGAAGCAUGUUUGAGACCUGCGAGGAGGAGGAGGCCUCUAUCAGAGCAAAGAAUUUGGAGCUGCUUCCAAUCUGAAACUUCCUUAGCGUUGUAAAAAGCACCCUUCAUUCGAAAUCGCUCAGUGCCUGGACUCAGAGAAAGUGGGAGAGUUACCAAGGCUCGGCCCCCAAGGCACAGUGAGAAGAAACUGAGGCAAUGCCAAGAACACCCCGACCUCAUGAGCUUCAAAGAAGCUGCUGCUGCAGUUCCCGGUUCUGAGGCACCUCCAAGACCACUCUCAUCCAAACUCUCAAAACACUCCCCUUGGGUGAGCUGUCCCUUAAAAGGAACAGGGCUGGGCCUUCACAAAGGCUCCUGUGAGACUUCUACCCCCUAUGGGUCUGGUAGCACCAAGGGAUUUCUCAUGCUAUGACCACAGACAUCAUCAAGAGGGUAGAGAGACCAAGUGGCCAGUGAAUUGGCACACAUGAAGAUUCUUUGUGAUCUGUAAAGAAAGUGUAAAAUCUGCAACAAACUGUGGAAUAAUCUGACAUAGGAAGAGGUGGAUGGUACAGAAGAACAAUAAAAUAAUAGCCAGCCUUUAUUGACUGGUUGCUUCAUGCCACUACUGCUCUGUGUGCUUUUACAUGUAUAAAAUGCGUAUUUGUCAUAAGACCCUUUGAAACGGCCCUACUGUCACUCCUAUUUUAUAGAUGAUGAAGCCCAGGACAGCACAAGGCUAGUGAGUGGUGCUGCACCCACGGAGUCUCUCCAGAGCCUGCACCUCUUACCCUCAGCUCGCCCUCCCCUCUGCUCCAUCUUACACUCCAAGAACAGCUUGGUGGGCUGUGUCCUCCACAGCAUGCCAGCAGCCCCCUCCUCCCACUCCAGCAAACCCCAGCCAAGACCACUCUGGCCCUGUUCCUCCAAGUGAACCCGAAACAACAGCCUCCUCCAGAACAUCCUCCCUACUUCAGUUACUCCAUUAGUUUCCUAAGAUAAUGUGGGCAAACAUUUCUCAAAUAAUCCCUGUGGACAGCUGCCCAUGCUGGGCACAGAUAGGGCCUUCCCUGAGCUCACCCCCUCCUAGACCCUCCCAG